GAUUGUGUAGUUAUAAUUUAAAAUACUGGUUUUGUAAGUCAGAGAUGAUAUUUUUAUUCGUAAUCA
rnacentral:tRNA from 1 species